rnacentral:lncRNA from 1 species
CUGGGAGCUGCUUCAUCUUUGCAAUAUCUCUCUCUCUCUCUCUCACUCUCAAAUCCAAUCCUCAUCUUUGUCCCCAAGUCGGAAUCUGAGCAUCUCCUCUCUGCCGACGCCGCGAUGCAAGAACCAUCGGAGAGGAGACAGAGUGGGGUGAUUCAGUCGAGUUCGACGGGGGUGGUGUGAAAGGCCUUUAUUUGGGUAGAAAUUCAACGACUUAGUAUUGAAUCUGGAGGGAGGAUGUCUGUGUUGCAGAGCCUUUGAUGGGAGAAAAAAUUCAACGCCUUGGACUGAAUCUUGGUGAUUUUUUUUCCCUCUUUUAAUAAUUUUUAAUAUUUUAAUAUUUUAAUAUUUUCUCUUAAUUUCAUCAUAGCAUCAGACCCAAUGUGAUCCUUUCUCCAUCAAACCCAUGUAAUUUUCGUUUUAUGGAGGAUUUGUUUUCUUCCAUGUAUGAGGUUAUGGAUUUGUGCUUCAAAAUAAGGUAUGAAAUUUUGAACAAUCAGGUUGUUGAUUUUCUUUAAAGUCUUGGAUUCUUGAAUUUUCUUCCUACUUUUUUUUUUUUUCAAUUUGAGAUUUGUUUUAUUACUCAAGAACUCUGGUCAUGAUGAAUCCAAUUGGAGUUUUCGGGCUUGUUAGUGGAGAACUGAGGUUGACAUCAAAAGAGAAAGAUGAGUUCUUUAACUGAGAAACCUCAUAACUGGUUUUGGUUUUGGCUAUAUUAUUUCUUAUGUGCAAUUGCAUAUAGUUUUUGUGCAAUUGCAUACAGUUUAUGCAAUUUUUGAGCCCCUGUAUGCAAUUAGCGAUAGUGUGAUGUUUAAAGAAACGUUUGACUUGAAUGCUAUGUCAUUGAGUUAUUUACCCAUUAACAAUCUAGUAACAAUUGAGGUUUCGUUCGUUGAGUAUGUUGCAUUCAUUUGAUAAAUUUAAAUGUUGGUAUGUUCGAUAAUAAAAAAAAGAGUUCACGAGAAAGAAGAAGACAUGAUUUUUAUUUUUAUUUUUUAGGUGAAGUGUCUUGGGUUGCCAUUACCAUUUCAAAG